UACGGGGGGGGCUAGCGUUGUUCGGAAUUACUGGGCGUAAAGGGCGCGUAGGCGGUCUGCUAAGUUGGAUGUGAAAACUCUGGGCUUAACCCAGAGCCUGCAUUCAAUACUGACAGGCUAGAGUUCUGGAGGGGAUAGCGGAAUUCCUGGUGUAGCGGUGAAAUGCGUAGAUAUCGAGAGGAACACCGGUGGCGAAGGCGGCGAUCUGGACGAUGACUGACGCUGAGACGCGAAAGCGUGGGGAGCAAACAGG
rnacentral:rRNA from 1 species